UACGAAGGGGGCUAGCGUUGCUCGGAAUCACUGGGCGUAAAGGGUGCGUAGGCGGGUCUUUAAGUCAGGGGUGAAAUCCUGGAGCUCAACUCCAGAACUGCCUUUGAUACUGAAGAUCUUGAGUUCGGGAGAGGUGAGUGGAACUGCGAGUGUAGAGGUGAAAUUCGUAGAUAUUCGCAAGAACACCAGUGGCGAAGGCGACUCACUGGCCCGAGUACUGACGCUGAGGCACGAAAGCGUGGGGAGCAAAGCAGGGAUUAAGAUACCC
rnacentral:rRNA from 1 species